rnacentral:piRNA from 1 species
UGAAAAGAAGGUAUCAGAAGCUGGACUGUGU